AGAGAGAGAGAGAGAGAGAGAGAGAGAGAGAGAGAGUAAUUAAUUAAUCAUGUAUUCAUAAUUAUCUUGUAUCGACUGUAAUGUUAAUGUUAUAAACAGAGCAUGAUAUAUUGCAGUGUUAACCACAGUCCGUGACGACUUAUGGUUUAAUGUUCAAACGAAAGGAAAAAAGGUUACGUUUUAUCAAGUAGGUCAAUACUAAGCGUGAAUUAGGUUAAUGUAGAUACAUGUUUGUUUAUCUUUAAAGCGUGGAUACUGAUAUUGUGAAACAAUGGUCGAUAAAUUGUCAGAUGCAAAAGUAAAAGAUUAUCAUCGCGUGUUCGAUGAGUACAAGACAGGUAUUGACGAGGUAGAGUACAGGCAUCUGGAGAAAAUGCUUCGCAAACUGGGAUAUGACCCCUCAGAAACUGAAAUGGAAUCUGUCUAUGAGCAUUUAGAUGUUUACUGUGAGUUGUUUAAUGGACC